CCUACGGGAGGCAGCAGUGGGGAAUAUUGCACAAUGGGCGCAAGCCUGAUGCAGCCAUGCCGCGUGUGUGAAGAAGGCCUUCGGGUUGUAAAGCACUUUCAGCGGGGAGGAAGGCGGUGAGGUUAAUAACCUCAUCGAUUGACGUUACCCGCAGAAGAAGCACCGGCUAACUCCGUGCCAGCAGCCGCGGUAAUACGGAGGGUGCAAGCGUUAAUCGGAAUUACUGGGCGUAAAGCGCACGCAGGCGGGCUGUCAAGUCGGAUGUGAAAUCCCCGGGCUCAACCUGGGAACUGCAUUCGAAACUGGCAGGCUAGAGUCUUGUAGAGGGGGGUAGAAUUCCAGGUGUAGCGGUGAAAUGCGUAGAGAUCUGGAGGAAUACCGGUGGCGAAGGCGGCCCCCUGGACAAAGACUGACGCUCAGGUGCGAAAGCGUGGGGAGCAAACAGGAUUAGAUACCCGUGUAGUC
rnacentral:rRNA from 1 species